CCUACGGGAGACAGCAGUGGGGGAUAUUGCACAAUGGGGGGAACCCUGAUGCAGCGACGCCGCGUGGGUGAAGAAGCGCCUCGGCGCGUAAAGCCCUGUCAGCAGGGAAGAAAAUGACGGUACCUGAAGAAGAAGCCCCGGCUAACUCCGUGCCAGCAGCCGCGGUAAUACGUAGGGGGCAAGCGUUAUCCGGAUUUACUGGGUGUAAAGGGGGCGCAGACGGCGAUGCAAGCCAGGAGUGCAAGACCGGGGCGCAACCCCGGGACUGCUCUUGGAACUGCGUGGCUGGAGUGCAGGAGGGGCAGGCGGAAUUGCUGGUGUAGCGGUGAAAUGCGUAGAUAUCAGGAGGAACACCGGUGGCGAAGGCGGCCUGCUGGACUGCAACUGACGUUGAGGCCCGAAAGCGUGGGGAGCAAACAGGAUUAGAUACCCGUGUAGUC
rnacentral:rRNA from 1 species